ACUGUCUAGGAAAACGCGAACCUUUACCAAAUUGGCACUACACAUCCCCCAAUUUCGCAAACCCUCGCCGACCACAUGUUACCCUAACCUUAAUCCCAGUCCCUUUCCUUGUUACGAUUUUCAUUCGUCCACGCCACGCCACGCCUCUAAUUAAACGCGGUCGUUUUCCGGUGGGGAAUGUGCUUGUUCAGUUCAGAGCGGGGGAACAUGCCGCUAAUGCUGUCAUAAACCUCAAUACGUUUUAUGCCGGUUAGCUGAACUUUAACAUGAGUCGGCGAUGAUGCAAUGAGGUGGGUGUUGCUCCAGGAGUAAAUGGCCUAAUUGGUACCCGGAGGCCGGAGCAGCAUGGCGGUGUUGGCAAGGUUAUUGACAGCAGACAUGAUUUCAAUGAGGCCCACUUAUUGAGCGGGGAAGAGCUGCAGGGAAGGGCUGGAUUUGCGACUGAUUGAGCAGAGGAGUGGUGAUGACUGUCACAUGAUGGUCGCCUGAGGCAAAGAGGGAUCACAUGCCCUGCUGCCAAGUAUGGAAUGAAGUGAAGUUUAAGUGGUCGUCGUUCUAGAUCCAUUAGGGUGGCUAACACAAAAAAUUUGCCCUUUCACUCUUUGCUUUGUAAAUCAAGAUUGAAGAUAACAAGAGAACUACAUAAUAGAGAUUUUAAUCUUUUGUAGUCGUUGUUUGAUUUAAUAUAGUUAUUUUCUUUAUUAAA